UACUUAGGGUGCAAGCGGUAAUCGGAAUUACUGGGCGUAAAGCGCACGCAGGCUGUCUGUCAAGUCGGAUGUGAAAUCCCCGGGCUCAACCUGGGAACUGCCUCCGUAACUGGCAGGCUAGAGUCUUGUAGAGGGGGGUAGAAUUACAGGUGUAGCGGUGAAAUGCGUAGAGAUCUGGAGGAAUACCGGUGGCGAAGGCGGCCCCCUGGACAAAGACUGACGCUCCGGUGCGAAAGCGUGGGGAGCAAACAGG
rnacentral:misc_RNA from 1 species